AAUAAUUUAUUGACAUCUUUGGAAAUCAUACAACAGUGUAGCUGUCCAUAUACACACCAACAAAAUUGCAUAAUUGAAAUAAAGCAUAGACACAUCCUAGAAGUUGCAAGGGCACUGGUGUUCCAAAGCUUAGUGCCAAUGAGAUUCUAGGGUGACUGUGUAAGAAUAGUAGCAUAUUUGAUAAAUAAGCCGCCCACAAGAGUGCUGCAAGGGAAGUGUCCGUAUGAAAUACUACAUAAUAGACCAGCAAAUAUAGAACACUUAAGGGUGUUUGAUUGUCUAUGUUGUGCAAGUAACUUGAUUGGAGGUGAUAAGUUUUCUCCAAGAGCAGAAAAGUUAGUCUUUAUAGGAUACUCAGAAACCCAAAAAUGGUACAAGCUGUAUGACUUAGAUAGCAGAAGAGUGUUUAUCAGCAAAGAUGUCUCAUUUAGGGAACAAGUGUUUCCUUUCAAGGAAGGUACUCAGAUCUCGGAAGACCUAUUUUCGUGUGAUGAACCUCCUGCUAUGACAAAUGAACUUAUGCCUGGACAGUUGGUGCAUGCCUCUCCCGAUGAGGAGCAAGCAACCACUGAAGAGUCAUACAUUUCCACCACUGCACAUGAUCAUACCUCACCUGCACUAGUUAUGGAACUAAGAGCUGCAGUAGACAGUCAAACAAUGGAUCCAGUUAAUACCAUAGUAGAUUUAACUAAUACUUCUACUAUGCCCUAAUUUGUAGAAUCAGUUAAAGUGUAACCAGUCAUAGAUCGAGUCACAGUUAAUCAUAUAUGGAGGAAGUCACAAGUCAAUCAUCUAUAGAGGAAGUAUUUAUAAAUGAAUCUAGUGUCAGGAAAUCUAGCAUGAUUUCAAAACGUUCCAUAUGGCUGAAUGAUUAUAUUACACCCACUAGUACUCAGAAUCAUUGUUAAUGUACUCUCAUCUAUCAACAAACUAAAAGGCAUAUUUGGGUGUGUUAUUAUCAAUAAUUGAACCAUAAAGCUUCAUGGAGUCUUGUCAAGACAAAAACUGGGUCGAAGCAAUGUCAUUAGCAAUUAAAUCUCUUGAAUACAAUGCAAUAUGAGAAAUUGUUGACCUGCAUGCAGGAAAAAGGGCGAUAGGAUCCAAAUGGAUGUUUAAGAUAAAGUAUAAGGCAAAUAAAAAAAAGAAACAUACAAGGCUAGGCUGGUAGCAUAAGAUUAUACACAGCAAGAAGGGUUGGAUUAUCAUGAUACCUUCUCUCAUGUAGCUAAAAUGGUUACCGUGAAAACAAUCAUGAGCAUAGCAGCCUCAAGAGUAUACAAUCUGUUUUAAAUGGAUGUCAAUAAUGCAUUUUUGUAGGAGGGUCUCUAUGAAGAUAUUUACAUGGAUCUGCCUCAAGGUUUCCAGAAACAAGGGGAGUAUAAGGUCUGCAAACUACUUAAAAUCACAAUAUGGUCGUACGCAGGCCUCAAGGCAAUGAACAUCAAAUUGACUAAGGCCUUGCUAGAAACAAGGUAUCAUCAGAGUGAUUAUGAUCAUUCACUCUUUACUAAGUGUCACACCUGCUUUUCACACUACACCCCCCGAAGGGUGUAGAAAGGGAGUUUUUUCAAUUAAAGGACAAUCGAAACGAGAUUUAUUUAUUUAGAGAUUUUAGAGUCGCCACUUGGGAUAAUUAAUGGUGUCCCAGGUCACCUGUUUAAAUCCCGAAUCGAGGAAGGUUUGACUCUGUAAUACAGUCUGCGAGCCAGAACUUCGGGUAAGGAAUUUUGUUAACCCGGGAGAAGGUAUUAGUCAUUCCCGAGUUCCGUGGUUCUAGCAUGGUCACUCAACUGUUAUACUCGGCUUAAUUAUCUGAUUUUAAAUCAUUUUUAACCUAUACGCAAUUUUAACUUUAACCGCUUUUAUUCAUUUUAAAAGGAGGAUUGCAAAGUUAUUUAAAAUAUGCUUUUGAACCACGUCACAUAAAUGCAGCCGCAGCCCGCAACACAUUUAUGUAACGUUGGAAUUUGGAUUUGGGUCACAUAAAUGCGCACCCGAGUUUUAAGAAGGUAGAUUAUUUGAACAACAUGCCUAAAGCAACUACACACUUUUAAGUUUUCGAGAGCCAUGGAAAAAUCGCUAAUGGCACGCCUCGAUUUCUAAAAAGUUAAAAUUAAUUAUCCGAGGACCAUGGGUUAUCUAAUUUUAAAGGGAAGUUUGAACUAAUUUUUUGAGGGCCAUACAUUAUUGAUGGUAUUUAAUAUAGAACACCUCACAUGUUGGUUAUUUGCAGCUUCACUUGCUGCGCACACAGAAGAACCAAAGAUAUUCCUUAGAAACUACAAGAUUUACAAAAUAGGGUGAACCGAAAAACUGCAUAUAUGCUUUUAUUUCCUCAAUGAUCUUUUAACCCUCUUUCCUCCCUCGUUUAUUUCCCUAUUUUGUUGAAACAUAGGGAAAUUCCGUAGGAAGUGUCAUUACGCUUCAUACUAAAGCAAAGAACCUAUAUGAGAGACUAUAACAACCGUUUCACACAAAGUUCAUAGAGGCACAACUGUUUGACACAACAAAGUAUUCUAAAAAAAAAUUUCAGCAUAGUAAUUAGCUUCAUCCAUGAUAGGUUUAAACAAAACAAAAAUUACAACCCUCAAACUAAAACGCCGAAGCAGAGCAUCUAAUGAGAGCAAAAAUUCUUUUAUCAAGCUCCAGAACACGCAAACAACUAAUUAAUCCUAUGACAAUCAUAACCAUAUGACAUCAUUCAAACACAAAAGGGAUAGCUAUAUUCAAGUAAGAUUAGACAAGAGAAUAAAUGAUGAACCUUUGAAUAAGCUUUCCGAUAUAUAAUGAGCCUCAAAUGUAUAUCAACAAGUCGUUUGGAUCUCCGAGACCACGUACGAAGACCUCAACAGACAACCUUG
rnacentral:lncRNA from 1 species